GAUGAACGCUGGCGGCACGCCUAACACAUGCAAGUCGAACGGAACUUAGAGAGUGCUUGCACUUUCGAAAGUUUAGUGGCGGACGGGUGAGUAACACGUGAGCAACCUACCUCUUAGCGGGGAAUAACGUUUGGAAACGAACGCUAAUACCGCAUAACGUGCAGAACUGGCAUCAGUACUGUACCAAAGAUUUAUCACUAAGAGAUGGGCUCGCGCCUGAUUAGAUAGUUGGUGAGGUAACGGCUCACCAAGUCGACGAUCAGUAGCCGGACUGAGAGGUUGAUCGGCCACAUUGGGACUGAGACACGGCCCAGACUCCUACGGGAGGCAGCAGUGGGGGAUAUUGCACAAUGGGGGAAACCCUGAUGCAGCGAUGCCGCGUGAGGGAAGAAGGUUUUCGGAUUGUAAACCUCUGUCUUUAGGGAAGAAAAAUGACGGUACCUAAGGAGGAAGCCACGGCUAACUAUGUGCCAGCAGCCGCUGUAAAACCGAG
rnacentral:rRNA from 1 species